GUGGGGAAUAUUGGACAAUGGGGGGAACCCUGAUCCAGCCAUGCCGCGUGUGUGAAGAAGGCCUUUUGGUUGUAAAGCACUUUAAGCGAGGAGGAGGCUACCGAGAUUAAUACUCUUGGAUAGUGGACGUUACUCGCAGAAUAAGCACCGGCUAACUCUGUGCCAGCAGCCGCGGUAAUACAGAGGGUGCAAGCGUUAAUCGGAUUUACUGGGAGUAAAUCGCGCGUAGGUGGCCAAUUAAGUCAAAUGUGAAAUCCCCGAGCUUAACUUGGGAAUUGCAUUCGAUACUGGUUGGCUAGAGUAUGGGAGAGGAUGGUAGAAUUCCAGGUGUAGCGGUGAAAUGCGUAGAGAUCUGGAGGAAUACCGAUGGCGAAGGCAGCCAUCUGGCCUAAUACUGACACUGAGGUGCGAAAGCAUGGGGAGCAAACAGGAUUAGAUACCCGAGUAGUCC
rnacentral:rRNA from 1 species